rnacentral:rRNA from 1 species
UACGUAGGGGGCAAGCGUUGUCCGGAAUCAUUGGGCGUAAAGCGCGCGUAGGCGGCCAGAUAAGUCCGGUGUGAAAGUCACAGGCUCAACCUGUGAAUGCCGCUGGAAACUGUCUGGCUUGAGUCCGGAAGGGGCGAGUGGAAUUCCUGGUGUAGCGGUGAAAUGCGCAGAUAUCAGGAGGAACACCAAUGGCGAAGGCGAGUCUCUGGACAGUUACUGACGCUGAGGCACGAAGGCCAGGGGAGCAAACGGG